rnacentral:rRNA from 1 species
GACGAACGCUGGCGGCGCGCUUUACGCAUGCAAGUCGCACGGACCUUCGGGUUAGUGGCGGACGGCUGAGUAACGCGUAGGCAAUCUGCCCAGUGGUGGGGGAGUAACCUACGUCGAAGGACGGGCGUAAGACCGCAUGUGCUCACCGGGUCGGAAACUACCCGGUCGUGGAAAACAAGCAAUGUGCCACUGGAGGAGCCUGCGUCCUAUCAGGUAGUUGGUGGGGUAACGGCCUACCAAGCCGAUGACGGGUAGCUGGUCUGAGAGGUCGACCAGCCAGAAGGGGACGUGAGACACGGCCCCUACUCCUAC